AAUCAACGCUGGCGGCGUGCCUAACACAUGCAAGUCGAACGCGAAAGCCCCGCAAGGGGCAAGUAGAGUGGCAAACGGGUGAGUAACGCGUGGGUGACCUACCUUCGAGUGGGGGAUAACGUUCCGAAAGGGACGCUAAUACCGCAUGACAUUCUGCCUUUGAAGAGGUGGGAAUCAAAGCCUGGGACCGCAAGGCCAGGCGCUUGAAGAGGGGCCCGCGUCCGAUUAGCUAGUUGGUGAGGAACGGCUCACCAAGGCUUCGAUCGGUAGCCGGCCUAAGAGGGCGGACGGCCACACUGGGACUGAGACACGGCCCAGACUCCUACGGGAGGCAGCAGUGGGGAAUUGUUCGCAAUGGGCGCAAGCCUGACGACGCAACGCCGCGUGGAGGAUGAAGGUCUUCGGAUUGUAAACUCCUGUUGCCCGGGACGAAUAGCUCCGACCUAACACGUCGGAGUCUGACGGUACCGGGUGAGGAAG
rnacentral:rRNA from 1 species